CCCAGUUCCAUACAUUCAAGGACAUGUUGGAAGAUCCCUAUUGAAGCGCGUUUGGCCUCCUUCUCAAUGGCACUGGGGGUGUUUUACAGCUUUGCUGGAAGACACACACACACACACACACACACACACAGCGGUUGUUGGCACUGGAAGUGUGUAAAAUACUGACCGAGUGUCCAGCGAUGAGAUUAGGAGCCCCACCCUCCCCAACAUACCAAUGCCACAAGUGGAGAAAUUAAACCCAAAUUUGUAAAGAAGGAUCAAGAAAAAAAAAAAAAAAAAAAAUCACACUGCAAAGAGUCCAGGAAGGAGUGUGUAACACACUUCCCCUUUGCUGUUGAAUACACUUCUUCAACUGACAGCACGACUACACGUGACACCAAGAAGGCGUCCUUCAGGAGAUCCAGGGCGUGUAGGCAGAGCGAAAUGUUCAGUGCACUUCUCCUUCCCUUUUGGGUGACUGAUGAGCACUUUGAGUAAUUUAAUACUGUGUUUUACCAUGUUCUGCCAGUAACACAAAUCCACUGUUAAAAAAGGAAGACAUAUAUAUAUAUAUGAUUCGAUUAUCCUCCUUCUGCUGCUGUUUGACAUGUUUGUAUUCUCCUGAUGUCCCCACUCAUACUGUCCGGUCUGGAUGGACUGCGCUGUUCGUCCAGGUGUUGGUCGGGGCGCGCGCGCGACAAGCAGGCCAGUUCCGUCUCUCCAGCGUCAGUCCGCGCGCGCAGAGGGGCAAAAACGGACAGUGAAAGGGGGAUCUGACAGACACCCACCCCCUUUCCAGCGUAGAGCCCACUUUAAAUCGCACCGUUUGAGUAAUUCGUGGAAUGACUGAUCGGAAAGGGCGAGCCCCGCGUGCACACCGGAUCCGCCCCGCAACACGCGCACCGCACUCCCGAGCCCCACCGCGUCGCACCCGAGCUCGUCCGAACACACAAACACAUCAUCAUCAUCAUCAUCAUCAGCGCGGCUGCGAAUUCAAGCUCCUUGGCAGCAGUUUGGACUGGAGCUCCUGUGGAAUAAAACCAAAACACAAGACUGCAACCCUGCAAGAUUCUGACACGAGGCACAGGACUUCAGGACUUUAACAUGGACAUCCAACGGCCAGGCAAAGGACACAGGCAUUGUGGCAUUAUCUGCCUAAGAAGCUGAGCUGACCAACACCUUGAUGCCUGCAGCAGCAGCCCUUCUUCUGCCCUGAGGGAUCAGCGGCAGGCAGGAACCCAAGAACCACAUGGGCGAUGAAGGAGGCAGGUAGGGGAGGGAAGCCCAGCAAGGACAGGACUUUCGGUCAAGGAUACACCAGCAGUGUUACCCUUUGAAGAAGCUCCAGGUGGAAAACCUUCUUUUACCAGUGGCUUGAGACGUCCAGCCUCACGCGUGUCACCCGUGCGUAAUGUUCCCUUUAUAUCAAUAUUAAAUAAAGUAAAUGGCACCAUGGUGCUAAGCCA
rnacentral:lncRNA from 1 species